GUGCUUGGUUCCGCAGCACAUAUACUAAAAAUUGGAACAAUACAAAGAAAAUUAGCAUGGCUCCCUGUGCAAGGAUGACACGCAAAUUCGUGAAGCGGUCCAUAUUUUU
ensembl:snRNA U6 U6 spliceosomal RNA